GACCCAUUUUUUGGGCCAGUGUUGAAGCAGGAGAUCAUGUCAAGAGUGUGCAAUAAAGCAAACCACUUACCUUGUGGCCUGGAAGUAAAGGAGGAAGAAGAAGAUACAGGGGCCCUACAGUCUCCUUCAAUGGCACCUUCCUCAUUUCCUAAGGACUUCUAGUAGGCUCCGUCUUCUAAAGGUUCCAUCACCUCCCAGUAGCACCACCCUGGGGACCAAGCCUUUAAAACAAAGACUUUUGAGGACACUUCCCCAAACUAUAGCAGGGACCUCAUGGCUUUUCCAUAGGGAACUAAAGAAAAGAUGGCAGUAAUAGUAUGAAUUA
rnacentral:lncRNA from 1 species